UGGGGAAUAUUGCGCAAUGGGGGAAACCCUGACGCAGCAACGCCGCGUGAGUGAAGAAGGUCUUCGGAUCGUAAAACUCUGUCAUUGGGGAAGAAAAAGAUGACGGUACCCAAUGAGGAAGCCCCGGCUAACUACGUGCCAGCAGCCGCGGUAAUACGUAGGGGGCAAGCGUUGUCCGGAAUUACUGGGCGUAAAGGGUGCGUAGGCGGCCGAUCAAGUCAGAUGUGAAAUACCAGGGCUUAACCUUGGGGGUGCAUUUGAAACUGGUUGGCUUGAGUGCAGGAGAGGAAAGUGGAAUUCCUAGUGUAGCGGUGAAAUGCGUAGAGAUUAGGAGGAACACCAGUGGCGAAGGCGACUUUCUGGACUGUAACUGACGCUGAGGCACGAAAGCGUGGGGAGCGAACAGG
rnacentral:rRNA from 1 species